rnacentral:rRNA from 1 species
CGGCGUGGAUUAGGCAUGCAAGUCGAGCGAGAACCAGUCUUCGGAUUGGGGACAGCGGCGAACGGGGUAGGAAUACCUCGGUACGUACCCCCCCGGUCGGGGAUAGCGGCGGGAAACUGCCGGUAAUACCCGAUGAUGUGCCCGUUUUAAUCGAUGGGCACCAAAGGUGUGAUUCCGUCGGGGGAGCGGCUGAGGUCGUAUUAGCUAGUUGGUAAGGUAACGGCUUACCAAGGCGAUGAUGCGUAGGGGGUGUGAGAGCAUGGCCCCCACCACUGGCACUGAGACACUGGCCAGACACCUACGGGUGGCUGCAGUCGAGAAUCUUCGGCAAUGGGCGAAAGCCUGACCGAGCGACGCCGCGUGCGGGAUGAAGGCCUUCGGGUUGUAAACCGCUGUCGGAGGGGAUGAAGUGCACGGGGGUACUCCCCUGUGUUUGACAGAGCCUCGGAGGAAGCACGGGCUAAGUUCGUGCCAGCAGCCGCGGUAACACGAACUGUGCGAACGUUAUUCGGAAUCACUGGGCUUAAAGGGUGCGUAGGCGGCGGCACAAGUCAGGUGUGAAAUCCCCCGGCUCAACCGGGGAACAGCGCUUGAAACUAGGUCGCUCGAGUGAGGUAGGGGUGUAUGGAACUUCCGGUGGAGCGGUGAAAUGUGUAGAUAUCGGAAGGAACGCCGGCGGCGAAAGCGGUACACUGGGCCUUGUCUGACGCUGAGGCACGAAAGCUAGGGGAGUGAACGGGAUUAGAUACCCCGGUAAUCCUAGCCGUAAACACUGAGCACUGGAGGGGAGGGGCUUCGGCC